rnacentral:rRNA from 1 species
AGCGAACGCUGGCGGCAGGCCUAACACAUGCAAGUCGAACGAACCCUUCGGGGUGAGUGGCGGACGGGUGAGUAACACGUGGGAACGUGCCUUUAGGUUCGGAAUAACUCAGGGCAACUUGUGCUAAUACCGAAUGUGCCCUUCGGGGGAAAGAUUUAUCGCCUUUAGAUCGGCCCGCGUCUGAUUAGCUAGUUGGUGAGGUAAUGGCUCACCAAGGCGCCGAUCAGUAGCUGGUCUGAGAGGAUGACCAGCCACAUUGGGACUGAGACACGGCCCAAACUCCUACGGGAGGCAGCAGUGGGGAAUCUUGCGCAAUGGGCGAAAGCCUGACGCAGCCAUGCCGCGUGGAUGAUGAAGGUCUUAGGAUUGUAAAAUCCUUUCACCGGUGAAGAUAAUGACUGUAGCCGGAGAAGAAGCCCCGGCUAACUUCGUGCCAGCCGCCGCGGUAAAAC